rnacentral:lncRNA from 1 species
CCAUGACAAGAACCACUCUCCAUCAUCAACAACAAAUAAUGGGAAAACGCUCAAAAUUCAUCUCAUACCUUGAAGUCCCCUCUUUGACUCCAAGGUGAAAAUCCUUGGUGAAAUCAUAUCUAAUCUCGUAUGCGAGUGUCGAGAAGUUGCUUGAAGAUACUGGCAUCCGGGUAUAACAAGAAGACAUAGAGGAGGUACUCAACUUUCAUAUGGGAUCCCGGGCCUGACAGUGAAGUUUUCUGAUGAUUCGGGUUCCAGAUGAAUGAUGAGCAUAGUCCGUAUGCUGGGAAUUUGGUUGUGGAUUUGUUGG